UACGUAGGGUGCGAGCGUUAAUCGGAAUUACUGGGCGUAAAGCGUGCGUAGGUGGUUCGUUGUGUCUGUGGUGAAAGCCCCGGGCUUAACCUGGGAAUGGCCAUGGAAACUGGCGAGCUGGAGUCUGGCAGAGGGGGGGUGGAAUCCGCGUGUAGCAGUGAAAUGCGUAGAGAUGCGGAGGAACACCGAUGGCGAAGGCAGCCCCCCUGGGCUAAGACUGACGCUGAGGCACGAAAGCGUGGGGAGCAAACAGG
rnacentral:rRNA from 1 species